rnacentral:rRNA from 1 species
GCUUGAGAAUGAAUUUAAGUUCAAAUAAAAGCAACAUACCAUCAAGAAAGGCCGUGCUUUUAUUAUAAUUAAUUAAGGUACAGCCUAAUUAAUAAAAGAAACAACUUAUAUAAAUAAAUAAAGAUUAUAAUAUACCAAAAUCUAGCAUCGUAGGCCUAAAAGCAGCCAUCACCUAAAAGCGUCAAAGCUUAACUUAGAAUUACUAAUUAUUUCAAUAAAUAAUCUUAACUUACAAAAAUUAUCAAGCAAAUCUACUAUGUAGAUAUAUUACUGCUAGAACAAGUAACAAGGAGCAAACCUCUAUAAUGUAUGUGUAAAUCAAAAUGAACAAAUCACUGAUAAUUAAUGAAUCUUUAAACCGCAAUACAUUAACCCAACACAGGAACAUUUAAGAAAGAUUUAAAGUCUAAAAAGGAACUCGGCAAAAUAUAGAGCUUCGCCUGUUUACCAAAAACAUCGCCUCUUGCUAAACUAACAUAAGAGGUACUGCCUGCCCAGUGACACCUGUUCAACGGCCGCGGUAUUAUGACCGUGCAAAGGUAGCGUAAUCACUUGCCCUUUAAAUAAGGGCCAGUAUGAAUGGCAAAACGAGAGCUCAACUGUCUCCUUAGACCAAUCAGUGAAACUGAUAUUUCCGUGCAGAAGCGGAGAUACGUAUAUAAGACGAGAAGACCCUGUGGAGCUUUAAACCUUAACUACAUAUAAUAAAUAUAAUUUAGAAUAAGGUUUUAGGUUGGGGCGACCCCGGGGUCAAAAAAAACCCCCAGGAUAAACUAAGAAGGACACUUCAAAGUAAUAAUAUAAUUGACCCAAUAAUUGAUCAACGAACUAAGUUACCCCAGGGAUAACAGCGCAAUCCUCCCACAGAGUUCCUAUCGACGAGAGGGUUUACGACCUCGAUGUUGGAUCAGGACCCCCAAAUGGUGCAGCAGCUAUUAAAGGUUCGUUUGUUCAACGAUUAAAGUCCU